rfam:Mycobacterium terrae strain CIP 104321 contig_7, whole genome shotgun sequence.
GGCGUCGAGCGUGACGCGGGUUUGGCUAGUUUUCCGCGGAGCGCGAGAGGGAACCCGGUGAGAAUCCGGGACUGUCCCGCAGCGGUAUGCAGGAACGACCGCCGUCAAUGGCACUGGUCAUGAGUGUGUGACUGGGAAGCGACGGCCAUUAGGAGCACCUUCCGGUGCGUGCCUGCGAGUCCGAAGACCUGCCAGCUGUGCUGGGUGCGC